GAUGAACGCUGACAGAAUGCUUAACACAUGCAAGUCAUUGGCGAAGCUGCGCUUGCGCAGUCUAGCCAAGGCGGACGGGUGAGUAACGCGUAAGGAACUUGCCCUGCAGACAGGGAUAACAGACGGAAACGACUGAUAACACCGGGUAUUGUCAGGCUGGCGCAUGCCGGCCUGAUGAAAGGAGACGCUGCAGGAGAGCCUUGCGUCCUAUUAGCUAGUUGGUGGGGUAACGGCCCACCAAGGCGAUGAUAGGUAGCCGGCCUGAGAGGGUGAACGGCCACAAGGGGACUGAGAUACGGCCCUUACUCCUACGGGAGGCAGCAGUGGGGAAUAUUGGACAAUGGGGGCAACCCUGAUCCAGCAAUUCUGUGUGCACGAAGAAGGUUUUCGGAUUGUAAAGUGCUUUCAGCAGGGAAGAAGAAAGUGACGGUACCUGCAGAAGAAGCGACGGCUAAAUACGUG
rnacentral:rRNA from 1 species